rnacentral:rRNA from 1 species
AUUGAACGCUGGCGGCAUGCUUUACACAUGCAAGUCGAACGGUAACAGGCCGCAAGGUGCUGACGAGUGGCGAACGGGUGAGUAAUGCAUCGGAACGUGCCCAGUCGUGGGGGAUAACGCAGCGAAAGCUGUGCUAAUACCGCAUACGAUCUAUGGAUGAAAGCGGGGGACCGUAAGGCCUCGCGCGAUUGGAGCGGCCGAUGUCAGAUUAGGUAGUUGGUGGGGUAAAGGCCUACCAAGCCGACGAUCUGUAGCUGGUCUGAGAGGACGACCAGCCGCACUGGGACUGGGACACGGCCCAGACUCCUACGGGAGGCAGCAGUGGGGAAUUUUGGACAAUGGGCGCAAGCCUGAUCCAGCAAUGCCGCGUGCAGGAAGAAGGCCUUCGGGUUGUAAACUGCUUUUGUACGGAACGAAACGGCCUGGGUUAAUACCCUGGGCUAAUGACGGUACCGUAAGAAUAAGCACCGGCUAACUACGUGCCAGCCGCCGCCGUAACAC